rnacentral:rRNA from 1 species
UACGAAGGGGGCUAGCGUUGUUCGGAAUUACUGGGCGUAAAGCGCACGUAGGCGGACAUUUAAGUCAGGGGUGAAAUCCCGCAGCUCAACUGCGGAACUGCCUUUGAUACUGGGUGUCUAGAGUAUGGAAGAGGUAAGUGGAAUUGCGAGUGUAGAGGUGAAAUUCGUAGAUAUUCGCAGGAACACCAGUGGCGAAGGCGGCUUACUGGUCCAUUACUGACGCUGAGGUGCGAAAGCGUGGAGAGCAAACAGA